AAAAGUUGAAUGUCGGCAGCAAACUGUGAUAACUCUGUAGGCAUUACUUCGUUAAAGCGAAAUUACCAAACACAAAUGAAAGCCCUUCUACGAGUUCUAAGCCUGGUCGUCAUUAGCGUCGUCGUGAUUAUUGUCACGCCGUGCGGGGCUACGCUCGGAGGAAGAAAGGCUUAAAAAUCAAGCCUGAUUUCGAAAGAACCCCCGCACCGAAAGGUCCGGGGGUUUUUUUUCGGCAAGGUAUUAAUGACAGAGGAUUAGGAAAUGAACAGUAGAAUAAAAUGCUGCAUUUCCCAGCCAGAG
rfam:Erwinia mallotivora strain BT-MARDI contig_55, whole genome shotgun sequence.